rnacentral:rRNA from 1 species
GAUGAACGCUGGCGGCGUGCCUAAUACAUGCAAGUCGAGCGGACGGACGAGAAGCUUGCUUCUCUGAUGUUAGCGGCGGACGGGUGAGUAACACGUGGAUACCCUACCUAUAAGACUGGGAUAACUUCGUGAAACCGGAGCUAAUACCGGAUAAUAUUUUGAACCGCAUGGUUCAAAAGUGAAAGACGGUCUUGCUGUCGCUUAUAGAUGGAUCCGCGCUGCAUUAGCUAGUUGGUAAGGUAACGGCUUACCAAGGCAACGAUGCAUAGCCGGCCUGAGAGGGUGAUCGGCCACACUGGAACUGAGACACGGUCCAGACUCCUACGGGAGGCAGCAGUAGGGAAUCUUCCGCAAUGGGCGAAAGCCUGACGGAGCAACGCCGCGUGAGUGAUGAAGGUCUUCGGAUCGUAAAACUCUGUUAUUAGGGAAGAACAUAUGUGUAAGAAACUGUGCACAUCUUGACGGUACCUAAUCAGAAAGCCACGGCUAACUACGUG